UACGGAGGGUGCAAGCGUUAUCCGGAUUUACUGGGUUAAAGGGUGCGUAGGUGGGUAGGUAAGUCAGUGGUGAAAUCUUCGAGCUUAACUCGGAAACUGCCAUUGAUACUAUUUAUCUUGAAUACUCUGGAGGUAAGCGGAAUAUGUCAUGUAGCGGUGAAAUGCUUAGAUAUGACAUAGAACACCAAUUGCGAAGGCAGCUUACUACAUAGUUAUUGACACUGAGGCACGAAAGCGUGGGGAUCAAACAGG
rnacentral:rRNA from 1 species